rnacentral:lncRNA from 1 species
AUCUGCCUGUUCUUCUGAUAUCCUGUUGUUUCCUUGGGGAGGGGAAUUUGUUGAAGUCAUACCGUGCAGCUCUCUCUGGUGUUGAGGAGAUGAUGCUCAGAGGUGUUCUUUGCCUGGCCCUUUAAGCCACUUUGCUCUUGGCCUCUGCAGUGCCUAGGGUACUAGGGCAGGUCCCACGGUGAGAAGCCCAGAUGUGGGGUGUGGACCCUCAGUUCUGUUGUAAAGAUGCUCAGAUACCCUCUAGGGUUCAUCUAAAAGAUCCCCUAGGGGGUGCUGCUGACAUGAAUGACUCUAGAGAACCAAGGGAUCCAUUGCCACCACACCUCCACCUCAUCUGUGACCAGAGUCUAUGACUUGGAUGAGAAUUAGGGUACAUCCUCUGACUUCAGAGGCUAUGAUCCAGAAGAGACUCUUCCACUGAAGCCAACCCCCCCUCUGCCUUUGAAAUCCUCCCACUUUGAGCAUAUUUAGACUUUUUCCCUUUUUUCUUUUGUGUCUAUUCAAACGUAUAAUUCUGAUUUCUCUCACCC